rnacentral:miRNA from 1 species
UCGCACAGGAGCAAAUUACCGCG